UCCUACGGGGCGCAGCAGUGGGGAAUAUUGGGCAAUGGGCGCAAGCCUGACCCAGCAACGCCGCGUGAAGGAAGAAGGCUUUCGGGUUGUAAACUUCUUUUAAGAGGGAAGAGUAGAAGACGGUACCUCUUGAAUAAGCCACGGCUAACUACGUGCCAGCAGCCGCGGUAAUACGUAGGGGGCAAGCGUUAUCCGGAUUUACUGGGUGUAAAGGGAGCGUAGGCGGUUUAGCAAGUCAGAAGUGAAAGCCCGGGGCUCAACUCCGGGACUGCUUUUGAAACUGUUGAACUAGAUUGCAGGAGAGG
rnacentral:rRNA from 1 species